AUUGAACGCUGGCGGAAUGCUUUACACAUGCAAGUCGAACGGCAGCACGGGUGCUUGCACCUGAUGGCGAGUGGCGAACGGGUGAGUAAUGUAUCGGAACGUAUCCAAUAAUGGGGGAUAACUAAUCGAAAGGUUGGCUAAUACCGCAUACGCCCUACGGGGGAAAGCAGGGGAUCUUCGGACCUUGCGUUAAUGGAGCGGCCGCUAUCUGAUUAGCUAGUUGGUGAGGUAAAGGCUCACCAAGGCGACGAUCAGUAGCUGGUCUGAGAGGACGACCAGCCACACUGGAACUGAGACACGGUCCAGACUCCUACGGGAGGCAGCAGUGGGGAAUUUUGGACAAUGGGGGCAACCCUGAUCCAGCCAUUCCGCGUGAGUGAAGAAGGCCUUCGGGUUGUAAAGCUCUUUCGCAAGGGAAGAAACGAUACAGUCUAAUAAACUGUGUUAAUGACGGUACCUUGAUAAGAAGCACCGGCUAACUACGUGCCAGCAGCCGCCGUAA
rnacentral:rRNA from 1 species